AAGAGCUCAGCGUGGACGGAAACCACACGUCGAGCAAAAGGGCAAAAGCUCGCUCGAUCUCGAUUUUCAGUACGAAUACGGACCACGAAAGUGU
rnacentral:rRNA from 1 species